UCUUCAUCUUGCCAAGCUUUCCUCAAAAACUCGAAAAAGGAACGGAGAAGGCGUCCUCGACGACUGCCCAUGGCCGCCGCCCGGACCUAGGCUAGGGAUUGCUGUCUCCUGAGUCCCGACCUACCAAGGCGGAAAGGGAGAGGGGGCGCUGUGGCGUCAGGAAAUAACUGGAAGCCGAGGGCUGAGGGCGAGUUCAGAGUCAGGUGGUUAUCGCUUUCUUUUUCGUUUUCUUUUUCCGGAGGGUAGUAUUGGGGAUGCCGGUUGCUAGGCCGGAGCCGCAGGAGCCCCGGGUGAUCGCCCAUGUCGACAUGGACUGCUUCUAUGUUCAAGUCGAGCAGCGGAGGAACCCGGCGCUCAGGGGACAGCCGACCGCCGUGGUGCAGUACAACGGCUGGAAAGGCGGCGGCUUGAUUGCCGUCAGCUACGAGGCUCGUGGAUUUGGUGUGAAGAGGUCCAUGCGCGGAGAUGAGGCCAAGAGGGUUUGUCCUGGUAUUAAUCUUGUUCAGGUCCCAGUGGCGCGUGGCAAGGCUGACCUUAAUCUUUACAGAAGUGCUGGUGCUGAGGUUGUUGCAAUCCUUGCAAGCAAAGGGAAGUGCGAGCGGGCAUCCAUCGACGAAGUUUAUCUUGACCUUACUGAUGCAGCAAAUGAAAUGGUCUUACAAGCUCCCCCAGAUUCACCAGAGGGGAUUUUUAUGGAGGCGGCAAAGUCAAAUAUCUUGGGCCUUCCGGCUGAUGCCAGCGAGAAGGAAAAGAAUGUGAGGGCAUGGCUUUGUCAAUCAGAAGCUGAUUACCAGGACAAGUUACUGGCAUGUGGAGCUAUAAUUGUUGCACAGUUACGAGUCAGAGUUCUGGAGGAAACCCAAUUCACAUGCUCUGCUGGGAUUGCUCACAAUAAGAUGUUAGCUAAACUUGUCAGUGGAAUGCACAAGCCUGCUCAGCAAACAGUUGUCCCUUCUUCAUCAGUUCAAGACUUACUAGCAUCACUACCUGUGAAGAAGAUGAAACAGCUUGGUGGUAAGCUUGGAAGUUCCUUGCAGGAUGAUCUUGGGGUUGAGACCAUUGGUGAUCUCCUAAGUUUUACAGAGGAAAAAUUACAAGAGCAGUAUGGAGUAAAUACUGGAACUUGGUUAUGGAAGACUGCCAGGGGCAUUAGCGGGGAAGAAGUUGAGGACCGUCUUCUCCCAAAGAGUCACGGGUGUGGAAAGACAUUUCCUGGCCCAAGAGCACUGAAGUACAGUGCUUCUGUCAAAGGCUGGCUGGAUCAACUAUGUGAAGAAUUAAGUGAACGUAUCCAGUCUGACCUGAACCAGAACAAGAGAAUUGCUCAAACGCUAACUCUUCAUGCCAGAGCAUUUAAGAAAAAUGAACAUGAUUCAAUGAAGAAAUUCCCUUCCAAAUCCUGUCCUUUGCGCUAUGGGACUGGGAAAAUUCAGGAGGAUGCAAUGAGGCUAUUUGAAUCUGGCCUUCAUGAGUUUUUAGAAUCUCAGAACACUGGAUGGGGCAUAACAUCUCUUUCUGUCACUGCAAGCAAAAUAUUUGAUAUACCUAGUGGAACAAGCUCAAUCCUGAGAUACAUUAAAGGUCCAAGUUCUGCUGCAGCUCUGACUAUACCUGAUUCUCCAAGUUCUGCUGCAGCUCUGGCUAUACCUGAUUCUUCAUUUGUACCUGAGGAUCCAUCUCUUGAUAAUGAUGUAUUUGUGGAGCCAAUUCAUGAAGAAGAAUGCCAACCAUCAACCUCUGAGAAAGAAGACGACAAUAAUACACAUUCUGCGUCUGCAUUUUCAGCUAAAAAAUGCCGAGCAAAUGAAGAAAAAAGAAUAUCAAAGAAAUUGCCUGGAGUUCAGCACCAAUGUCUAAUAUUCAAGUUGGAAGGUGGCAUAACAUCCCCAAAAUUAAUGCUUGGCAUUGCCUUUUGUAUCAGAAAUGAUCAAAUCGAGGGCUUUUAUUUCUGAGUCAGCUGCAGUUUCUUUCUUACAUUAUGUUGCCUAUCAUGAUUACGGUCUUGUACUUGCUUUUUAUUCAGUGAAAUUAGUACUCUAUUGUGCCAUUUUGCCAUGUACUGAACUUGUUCACUUCUCUUUUUUUCUCAUUUCUUUUGUGUUGGUAGUACAAGAUUUUCAAACUAAUUUUUAGUUUCCAUGUCAUUAACUCGCCCAAGGUGUUUCAUUACCAUAGGGAACUUCCUCGAUAUUGAAGUUUCUUUCACGGGGCCAAUCUACCUUACAUGAGAAAAGAAAAUCUGAUGGACUAAUUUGCAGUCAUCAAGGUCCCGGGAGUUCUUCGGAAGCAUACAAAGCUGGAGCACACAAUGUGCCCGCGGAAGCUGAGGAUAGGAACAACACCAACAGUUGUGCUGAACCCUCUGGCAGUAACACAUGGACGUUCAACCUUCAAGACAUUGAUCCAGCGGUGGUAGAGGAGCUGCCACCAGAGAUCCAAAGAGAAAUACAGGGGUGGGUCCGUCCAUCGAAGCACCCGAUCACGAAGAGACGUGGUUCUACAAUUUCUUCAUACUUUCCACCCGCGAGGUCUUAGAUACGUUGAUACGUUAGUUCUUGAUUGUAUAUUCUUUAUUUUCUACACACAACGGCCUCGCUCUGUGUAUUGUAAUUGUAAGAUGUGAAGAUGUUUAGGUAGCCCUAUAUGUGAUUAACAGC